CCUACGGGAGGCAGCAGUGGGGAAUUUUGGACAAUGGGGGCAACCCUGAUCCAGCCAUUCCGCGUGAGUGAAGAAGGCCUUCGGGUUGUAAAGCUCUUUCGCAAGGGAAGAAAACUUAUGAUCGAAUAAAUCAUGAGGUUGACGGUACCUUGAUAAGAAGCACCGGCUAACUACGUGCCAGCAGCCGCGGUAAUACGUAGGGUGCGAGCGUUAAUCGGAAUUACUGGGCGUAAAGCGUGCGCAGGCGGUUUUGUAAGUCGGAUGUGAAAUCCCCGGGCUCAACCUGGGAACUGCGUUCGAAACUGCAAGGCUAGAGUGUGUCAGAGGGGGGUAGAAUUCCACGUGUAGCAGUGAAAUGCGUAGAGAUGUGGAGGAAUACCAAUGGCGAAGGCAGCCCCCUGGGAUAACACUGACGCUCAUGCACGAAAGCGUGGGGAGCAAACAGGAUUAGAUACCCUGGUAGUCCACGCCCUAAACGAUGUCAACUAGUUGUUGGUAGAGUAAAAUCUAUGAGUAACGUAGCUAACGCGUGAAGUUGACCGCCUGGGGAGUACGGUCGCAAGAUUAAAACUCAAAGGAAUUGACGGCNGAGAGNGCGAGACGACGACGAGGGAGGAGG
rnacentral:rRNA from 1 species